rnacentral:rRNA from 1 species
GAAGGUGGGGACGACGUCAAGUCAUCAUGGCCCUUACGAGUAGGGCUACACACGUGCUACAAUGGCGAGUACAGAGGGAUGCAAACCUGCGAAGGUAAGCGGACCCCUUAAAGCUCGUCGUAGUCCGGAUUGGAGUCUGCAACUCGACUCCAUGAAGUCGGAAUCGCUAGUAAUCGCGGAUCAGAAUGCCGCGGUGAAUACGUUCCCGGGCCUUGUACACACCGCCCGUCACACCAUGGGAGUUGGGUUCACCCGAAGGCCGUGCGCCAACCUUUCGAGGGGGCAGCGGACCACGGUGAGCUCAGCGACUGGGGUGAAGUCGGAACAAGGUAG